rnacentral:rRNA from 1 species
AUCGGGGCAGGGUGAGUCGACCCCUAAGGCGAGGCCGAAAGGCGUAGUCGAUGGGAAACAGGUUAAUAUUCCUGUACUUGGUGUUACUGCGAAGGGGGGACGGAGAAGGCUAUGUUGGCCGGGCGACGGUUGUCCCGGUUUAAGCGUGUAGGCUGGUUUUCCAGGCAAAUCCGGAAAAUCAAGGCUGAGGCGUGAUGACGAGGCACUACGGUGCUGAAGCGACAAAUGCCCUGCUUCCAGGAAAAGCCUCUAAGCAUCAGGUAACAUCAAAUCGUACCCCAAACCGACACAGGUGGUCAGGUAGAGAAUACCAAGGCGCUUGAGAGAACUCGGGUGAAGGAACUAGGCAAAAUGGUGCCGUAACUUCGGGAGAAGGCACGCUGAUAUGUAGGUGAAGCGACUUGCUCGUGGAGCUGAAAUCAGUCGAAGAUACCAGCUGGCUGCAACUGUUUAUUAAAAACACAGCACUGUGCAAACACGAAAGUGGACGUAUACGGUGUGACGCCUGCCCGGUGCCGGAAGGUUAAUUGAUGGGGUUAGCGGUAACGCGAAGCUCUUGAUCGAAGCCCCGGUAAACGGCGGCCGUAACUAUAACGGUCCUAAGGUAGCGAAAUUCCUUGUCGGGUAAGUUCCGACCUGCACGAAUGGCGUAAUGAUGGCCAGGCUGUCUCCACCCGAGACUCAGUGAAAUUGAACUCGCUGUGAAGAUGCAGUGUACCCGCGGCAAGACGGAAAGACCCCGUGAACCUUUACUAUAGCUUGACACUGAACAUUGAGCCUUGAUGUGUAGGAUAGGUGGGAGGCUUUGAAGUGUGGACGCCAGUCUGCAUGGAGCCGACCUUGAAAUACCACCCUUUAAUGUUUGAUGUUCUAACGUGGGCCCCUUACCGGGGUUGCGGACAGUGUCUGGUGGGUAGUUUGACUGGGGCGGUCUCCUCCUAAAGAGUAACGGAGGAGCACGAAGGUUGGCUAAUCCUGGUCGGACAUCAGGAGGUUAGUGCAAUGGCAUAAGCCAGCUUGACUGCGAGCGUGACGGCGCGAGCAGGUGCGAAAGCAGGUCAUAGUGAUCCGGUGGUUCUGAAUGGAAGGGCCAUCGCUCAACGGAUAAAAGGUACUCCGGGGAUAACAGGCUGAUACCGCCCAAGAGUUCAUAUCGACGGCGGUGUUUGGCACCUCGAUGUCGGCUCAUCACAUCCUGGGGCUGAAGUAGGUCCCAAGGGUAUGGCUGUUCGCCAUUUAAAGUGGUACGCGAGCUGGGUUUAGAACGUCGUGAGACAGUUCGGUCCCUAUCUGCCGUGGGCGCUGGAGAACUGAGGGGGGCUGCUCCUAGUACGAGAGGACCGGAGUGGACGCAUCACUGGUGUUCGGGUUGUCAUGCCAAUGGCACUGCCCGGUAGCUAAAUGCGGAAGAGAUAAGUGCUGAAAGCAUCUAAGCACGAAACUUGCCCCGAGAUGAGUUCUCCCUGACUCCUUGAGAGUCCUGAAGGAACGUUGAAGACGACGACGUUGAUAGGCCGGGUGUGUAAGCGCAGCGAUGCGUUGAGCUAACCGGUACUAAUGAACCGUGAGGCUUAACCUU